ACUACGGUAGGCUGCAGUGGGGGAUAUUGCACAAUGGGGGGAACCCUGAUGCAGCGACGCCGCGUGGGUGAAGGAGCGUUUCGGCGCGUAAAGCCCUAUCGGCAGGGAAGAAGGAGGACGGUACCUGACUAAGAAGCCCCGGCUAACUACGUGCCAGCAGCCGCGGUAAUACGUAGGGGGCAAGCGUUAUCAGGAUUUACUGGGAGUAAAGGGGGCGCAGACGGCCGCGCAAGCCAGUAGUGAAAGCCAGGGGCCCAACCCCGGGACUGCUCUUGGAACUGCGCGGUUGGAGUGAAGGAGGGGCAGGCGGAAUUCCUGGUGUAGCGGUGAAAUGCGUAGAUAUCAGGAGGAACACCGGUGGCGAAUGCGGCCUGCUGGACUGCGACUGACGUUGAGGCCCGAAAGCGUGGGGAGCAAACAGGAUUAGAUACCCUAGUAGUC
rnacentral:rRNA from 1 species